UCCGAGUUGUCCCCGGCAGUCCCCUUAGAGUCCCCGGCAUUACCCGCUGGCAACUAAGGGCAGGGGUUGCGCUCGUUGCGGCACUUAAGCCAACACCUCACGGCACGAGCUGACGACAGCCAUGCAGCACCUGUGCUGGCCCCUUGCGGGUCCCUUCCCUUUCAGGUCAGUACCACUUGCAUGUCAAGCCCAGGUAAGGUUCUUCGCUUACCAUCGAAUUAAACCACACGCUCCGCUGCUUGUGCGGGGUCCCGUCAAUUCCUUUGAGUUUUAGCCUUGCGGCCGUAGUCCCCAGGCGGAGUGCUUAACGCGUUAGCUUCGGCUCACAGGGGGUCGAUACCCAGAAAACCCAGCACUCAUCGUUUAGGGCGUGGACUAC
rnacentral:misc_RNA from 1 species